UCCUCUUGCUCUUUCCGCCUAUAUACCGCCGUCGUCAGCUUACCCUGUGAAGGGCCAAUAGUGAGCAUAAUCGGCACAGCCCAGUACGUCAGGUCGAGGUGUAGUGUAUGAGGGGGGAAGAGAUGGGCUACAUUUACUAACAAUAGUAAAUACGAAUACUGCAUUGAAACAUGCAGCUGAAGGUGGAUUUAGUAGUAAGCCGGAAACAGAGUGUCCUGCUGAAAUUGGCUCUAAAGCGCGUACAUACCGCCCGUCACCCUCUCUAAGUUCUACAGAAACAUUAUACCCAAUAAGCCUUCGCUUGCAGAAGGGAGGAAAGUCGUAACAUGGUAAGCGUACCGGAAGGUGUGCUUGGUAUAAAUCAGAGUGUAGCUUAGCAGAGACUAGCGUCUCCCUUACACCGAGAAGACAUUCGUGCGAGUCGAAUCGCUCUGACGCCUAUUAGCUAGCCCUACUUAAACGAACAACAAUCAAAUCUUAAUAAACCCAAACCCACUGAUUUAGACCCCCUAAGCUAAACCAUUCUCCCCCUGAAGUACGAGCGACGGAAAAAGGACUAUAUGGAGCGAUAGAGAAAGUACCGCAAGGGAAUGCUGAAAGAAAGAUGAAAUAGAUUAGUAAAGCACAAAAAAGCAGAGAUCUAACCUCGUACCUUUGCCAUCAUGA
rnacentral:rRNA from 1 species